rnacentral:rRNA from 1 species
GCCUACGGGGGGCAGCAGUAGGGAAUCUUCCACAAUGGGCGAAAGCCUGAUGGAGCAACGCCGCGUGGGUGAAGAAGGUCUUCGGAUCGUAAAACCCUGUUGUUAGAGAAGAAAGUGCGUGAGAGUAACUGUUCACGUUCCGACGGUAUCUAACCAGAAAGCCACGGCUAACUACGUGCCAGCGGCCGCGGUAAUACGUAGGUGGCAAGCGUUAUCCGGAUUUAUUGGGCGUAAAGAGAACGCAGGCGGUCUUUUAAGUCUGAUGUGAAAGCCUUCGGCUUAACCGGAGUAGUGCAUUGGAAACU